CUACGGGCGGCUGCAGUGGGGAAUAUUGCACAAUGGGGGAAACCCUGAUGCAGCAACGCCGCGUGGAGGAUGACGCAUUUCGGUGUGUAAACUCCUUUUAUAUCCCAAGAUAAUGACGGUAGGAUAUGAAUAAGCACCGGCUAACUCCGUGCCAGCAGCCGCGGUAAUACGGAGGGUGCAAGCGUUACUCGGAAUCACUGGGCGUAAAGGAUGCGUAGGCUGGAAGUCAAGUCAUAAGUGAAAUCCCACGGCUCAACCGUGGAACUGCUUGUGAAACUGGCUUUCUAGAAUGUGGGAGAGGUAGAUGGAAUUAGUGGUGUAGGGGUAAAAUCCGUAGAGAUCACUAGGAAUACCGAUUGCGAAGGCGAUCUACUGGAACACUAUUGACGCUGAGGCAUGAAAGCGUGGGGAGCAAACAGGAUUAGAUACCCUUGUAGUC
rnacentral:rRNA from 1 species